GAACAGCUAGGACUAGCUGAUUAGCUUGUUGUCUAGCUGCCAGAGAGUGCGGCAGUAGCUUGGUUCGGACAGCUGCUAGCAGCAAACGGGCUCAUAAAACAAAACAGGACAAUUGAUGAUCGGAUCGACGACGCAAACAACAAAAGAGAUAGUUUCCUUAUCUAAGUUCGUACUUUUAAUUCGUCAAGAUGAGUUAUGGUAGUUAUGGCAGACCGCCGCCUCAGAUCGAGGGCAUGACUUCGCUGAAGGUGGACAACUUAACCUACCGCACAUCGCCAGAAACUCUUCGUCGUGUCUUCGAGAAGUAUGGGCGAGUUGGAGACGUCUACAUCCCCAGAGAUCCAUACAGCAAGGAGAGCAGGGGUUUCGCUUUUGUGCGUUUCCACGACAAACGCGACGCCGAGGACGCGAUGGAUGCCAUGGACGGUGCGUUCCUAGACGGCCGAGAACUGCGUGUUCAGAUGGCACGCUACGGAAGGCCCCCAGACUCCCACUACAGCAGUGGUGGUGGCCGCAGUGGUCGUGACGGUCGUGGUGGACCCCCUCGACGAGACAGAGGACGCCGCAGUAGGAGCCCACGACGCCGCAGACGCAGCCGCUCCAGGAGCCGCAGCCGUUCCCGCUACAGCCGCUCCAGGUCCCGGUCCCGCUCCAGGUCCAGAUCCCGUGGCUCCAGGUCUUACUCGCGUUCCCGCUCCCGCUCGGCCCGCCGCAGCAAGACCCCCAACAAGUCGCCCUCGCGCUCCAGGUCCCGCUCCCGCCAGCACUCGCCGGCCUCCAACAAGGGCUCCAAGUCCCGCUCGCGCUCCAAGAGCCCGCCCAAGUCGCCGGGGGAGAACGGAGCGGCGUCGCCGUGACUACUCCCGAACUCGGACUUUUGACAUGUAAGCCCAACAAAGCGCUCGCAGGACCCACGCGCACACCCAUUAGAACACGCUGCAUUUAUGGUCCAGAACAUACUAAUAAUGAGCGCAAAAUCUUAUAAAGGGGGAGUUAUUUUAAGGAGUGAUGUUCUAUGUGUAAAUGGAUGGCAUACGUAAGGUUUAAAGGGGUGGUAUAUUUUUUAAUGUUCAAAGGGGUAGUUAAAGGAGUGAUAUACUAUGUUUUAUGCGUAAUGUUUAAAGGGAUGGUAUAUAUUUUAUGUUUAAAGGGGUUUUUAACCUUCAAAGGGGCCCUAUAUAAUUCUGUGCUAAUGUGUGGAGUGUUCACGUUAACCAUUACUUCCUCAUUGGCAGUGGACACAAUGAGACGGAACAGUUACUAUGACUACUCGAGACGUGCUCUCCUUCUCUCUCUCCCCCCCUGUCUUCCAAUCAUUAGCCCCUUUAAACGCAUGCAUGCUUCCCCGCGCACAUUCCAAUUGGUAGGCAGAAUACUUCGCACACACACACACACACACUUCUCUCCCUUUACGGCAUCUCUCUGUAAGUGUACACCUUAUUUUCAGCACACACUGCUUGUUAAUUACAUUGACAUGUGGACUUCUCUCCUCUAAGCUGCUGUCUGUUCGUGAGUGAGGAGAGGAGGUGGAGGAGGAGGAGAGGAGUUGGAGUGAAGGAGGGCAGGAGAGAGGAGGAGGUGGAGAAGGAGAGAGUGGGGCGGGGUGUCGAGGUGACGCGCCCCUUCUACCCUCUACGGAUGUGACCUUCUGUUUCUAUAUGUGGCCACGGGACUGACCGUCUUCAGCCACAAACACGCUCUCAUGACGGACUAAAGGUUAUUAUUGUGUCCAUGGCAAGCUUUUCUGAGAAGACAAAAGACGUCUGAUAAUUCUGUCUUCUGCUUUCCAUUGAUCCCCACCCCCUACCUGCCUUUCACCAGCUUUCAGUUCUGUGUGCUUUUUUCCCCACCUGUGGCUUAGCGGGAAGGAUUUGAGGUUUUGCUUUUUUUGUGUGUCCAAGUCACAUGUUUAUUUGAGAACAUAGUGCCACGCCUGUGUGAAUAAUGUCAUUCUUUUUAGAAGAGUGCAUGUGAUGCUAUGAGUUUAAACAUGGGCUGGUUUUAAAAUGGCGGCAAGGAAGUUGGUAAACUAGUAGCUCUUCCCAUUGCCUUGUUCAGGCCUGUAUUCCAAAUGUUAAAUACAAAACAUUUUAAAGUUAUUAUUUGGUGUUCAAAAUGUGAAUAAUUUUUGGCCUAAAAGGUAUCAUUUUUUGACUUAAAAAUCUCAUCUUAAAAAGGAACAUUUACCCCAUGACCACCUGUGUUUUUGUGUUCUCCCUCUUUUCGUUGUAAAGAGAUUUAGUUUUUUUUAUUAAUUGGUCUGAAAUUGUAAUGAUUUGCUAUGCGUAUCUUACAUUUGUUAAUGUCAUGGAUAUGAAAACUAGAUGCCAUGUUGAGUCCUGGUCCGGUAGCCUGUUUUUCAUAAUGUGUUACCGCCACCUACAGGAUAAAGUGUGUAUUGCCAUGUAUUGACUGAUGGCGGCAAUAGCGGCCAAUCAUGGUGGCAAACUGACUUGAGCCAUUCGUUCCAAUUCAAAGGGAUGGUCAAAGUGGCAUCUCGUAUUCAUAUCUGUGCGGUAGUGUUGAGCGUGUGAGCGAGCGUGUCUAACCCAUGUCUUGUAUCUUGUUUGCAUUAGGCGCAGGUGAGUAGCAGGUGAGGUGUGUGCUGGGUUAGCAGUUAAGGUGCCCUGUUGGUGUUGCUGUUGCAGUGCAGAAUGCAGAUCAUUGGCAGAGAGCCCGCUUUGCUCCAGAUAUCGCCACUGGUAACAGUCACCGUGGCGACCCACUCGGUAAAGACGGGAACCCACACGUGGCCCUGUUUUUUGUUUUUGUUAAUUUUGUCCCCUCCUUUUUUCCUCUACCUUCCCCCAUCUUGUUCAUUUCUUUUUAAUUAAAUGGUCUGUUUUUUCCUCCCAGAUUAUUUUUUUUCUGGGGUAAUGUAUCACAGAUUGUCAUGUCAUCCCACUUUUCUGUUUCCAUAACUGCUCGACUGACUGGGAACAGCAAUGCUGUGUGCGUCCGCACGUGAGAGUCCUAGGGUGCUCUCUCCUCUGUGUGCUGUGUGGGAUGCUGCAUUGCCCCGCCCCCCUAAGUACAUGGCUGUGUGCUGCUUUCUUACAGUGCGCAUCAUUAAUGUUCAUCUGUCAUCUAUUCAGAUCAUCAAUAAAAUACUACUAUUAUAGUC